rnacentral:rRNA from 1 species
CUCUUUAUGGGGGGUGACUGCGUACCUUUUGUAUAAUGGGUCAGCGACUUAUAUUCUGUAGCAAGGUUAACCGCAUAGGGGAGCCGAAGGGAAACCGAGUCUUAAUUGGGCGUUAAGUUGCAGGGUAUAGACCCGAAACCCGGUGAUCUAGCCAUGGGCAGGUUGAAGGUUGGGUAACACUAACUGGAGGACCGAACCGACUAAUGUUGAAAAAUUAGCGGAUGACCUGUGGCUGGGGGUGAAAGGCCAAUCAAACCGGGAGAUAGCUGGUUCUCCCCGAAAGCUAUUUAGGUAGCGCCUCGUGAAUUCAUCUCCGGGGGUAGAGCACUGUUUCGGCUAGGGGGCCAUCCCGGCUUACCAACCCGAUGCAAACUGCGAAUACCGGAGAAUGUUAUCACGGGAGACACACGGCGGGUGCUAACGUCCGUCGUGAAGAGGGAAACAACCCAGACCGCCAGCUAAGGUCCCAAAGUCAUGGUUAAGUGGGAAACGAUGUGGGAAGGCCCAGACAGCCAGGAUGUUGGCUUAGAAGCAGCCAUCAUUUAAAGAAAGCGUAAUAGCUCACUGGUCGAGUCGGCCUGCGCGGAAGAUGUAACGGGGCUAAACCAUGCACCGAAGCUGCGGCAGCGACACUUUAGUGUUGUUGGGUAGGGGAGCGUUCUGUAAGCCGUCGAAGGUGUCCUGUGAGGGGUGCUGGAGGUAUCAGAAGUGCGAAUGCUGACAUAAGUAACGAUAAAGCGGGUGAAAAGCCCGCUCGCCGGAAGACCAAGGGUUCCUGUCCAACGUUAAUCGGGGCAGGGUGAGUCGACCCCUAAGGCGAGGCCGAAAGGCGUAGUCGAUGGGAAACGGGUUAAUAUUCCCGUACUUGGUGUUACUGCGAAGGGGGGACGGAGAAGGCUAUGUUGGCCGGGCGACGGUAGUCCCGGUUUAAGCGUGUAGGCUGGUUUUCCAGGCAAAUCCGGAAAAUCAAGGCUGAGGCGUGAUGACGAGGCACCACGGUGCUGAAGCAACAAAUGCCCUGCUUCCAGGAAAAGCCUCUAAGCAUCAGGUAACAUCAAAUCGUACCCCAAACCGACACAGGUGGUCAGGUAGAGAAUACCAAGGCGCUUGAGAGAACUCGGGUGAAGGAACUAGGCAAAAUGGUGCCGUAACUUCGGGAGAAGGCACGCUGACACGUAGGUGAAGUGAUUUACUCAUGGAGCUGAAGUCAGUCGAAGAUACCAGCUGGCUGCAACUGUUUAUUAAAAACACAGCACUGUGCAAACACGAAAGUGGACGUAUACGGUGUGACGCCUGCCCGGUGCCGGAAGGUUAAUUGAUGGGGUCAGCGCAAGCGAAGCUCCUGAUCGAAGCCCCGGUAAACGGCGGCCGUAACUAUAACGGUCCUAAGGUAGCGAAAUUCCUUGUCGGGUAAGUUCCGACCUGCACGAAUGGCGUAAUGAUGGCCAGGCUGUCUCCACCCGAGACUCAGUGAAAUUGAACUCGCUGUGAAGAUGCAGUGUACCCGCGGCAAGACGGAAAGACCCCGUGAACCUUUACUAUAGCUUGACACUGAACAUUGAGCCUUGAUGUGUAGGAUAGGUGGGAGGCUUUGAAGCGUGGACGCCAGUCUGCGUGGAGCCGACCUUGAAAUACCACCCUUUAAUGUUUGAUGUUCUAACGUGGACCCGUAAUCCGGGUUGCGGACAGUGUCUGGUGGGUAGUUUGACUGGGGCGGUCUCCUCCUAAAGAGUAACGGAGGAGCACGAAGGUUGGCUAAUCCUGGUCGGACAUCAGGAGGUUAGUGCAAUGGCAUAAGCCAGCUUGACUGCGAGCGUGACGGCGCGAGCAGGUGCGAAAGCAGGUCAUAGUGAUCCGGUGGUUCUGAAUGGAAGGGCCAUCGCUCAACGGAUAAAAGGUACUCCGGGGAUAACAGGCUGAUACCGCCCAAGAGUUCAUAUCGACGGCGGUGUUUGGCACCUCGAUGUCGGCUCAUCACAUCCUGGGGCUGAAGUAGGUCCCAAGGGUAUGGCUGUUCGCCAUUUAAAGUGGUACGCGAGCUGGGUUUAGAACGUCGUGAGACAGUUCGGUCCCUA